GCGGGAAUAGCUCAGCUGGUAGAGCGAUACCUUGCCAAGGUAUAGGUCGCGAGUUCGAGUCUCGUUUCCCGCU
rfam:Proteobacteria bacterium ST_bin12 43, whole genome shotgun sequence.